rnacentral:rRNA from 1 species
UACGAAGGGGGCUAGCGUUGCUCGGAAUGACUGGGCGUAAAGGGCGCGUAGGCGGAUGGCACAGUCAGAUGUGAAAUUCCCGGGCUUAACCUGGGGGCUGCAUUUGAUACGUGUGAUCUAGAGUGAGGAAGAGGGUCGUGGAAUUCCCAGUGUAGAGGUGAAAUUCGUAGAUAUUGGGAAGAACACCGGUGGCGGAGGCGGCGACCUGGUCCUUGACUGACGCUGAGGCGCGAAAGCGUGGGGAGCAAACAGG